UACAGAGGGUGCAAGCGUUGAUCGGAAUUACUGGGCGUAAAGCGUGCGCAGGCGGUUUUGUAAGACAGAUGGGAAAUCCCCGGGCUUAACCUAGGAACUGCAUUUGUGACUGCAAGACUAGAGUGCGGCAGAGGGGGGUAGAAUUCCACGUGUAGCAGUGAAAUGCGUAGAGAUGUGGAGGAAUACCGAUGGCGAAGGCAGCCCCCUGGGUCGACACUGACGCUCAUGCACGAAAGCGUGGGGAGCAAACAGG
rnacentral:rRNA from 1 species